GGGGUCGACUGGUUUUGACAGCGGGUUUAAAUUAAAGUGUAAGCAUGCAGAGCGCCGGGAUACAGCUCUUUAAUCUCAUGUUCCGAACCUUUAAAUGGCGAAACUAACUACGCUCUUGCUGCGUAAUCCGAAUUAUAGUACGAUUUAGCCGUGUUUCCGCAAGGCGGAAAAGCAGGAUGUCUCCGGGUAGCCUUUGUUGGCGGCGAUCCGUAAGGAGGCACCAUAAAUGUCAACAUAGAAAUCGCGGGGCUUCGGCGCGGUUUUAAAAUUUAA
rnacentral:tmRNA from 1 species